GGGUUAACCUCUCAGUCCCCCUAUGUAUCGUCGCCUUGGUGAGCCGUUGCCCCACCAACUAGCUAAUACAACGCAUGUCCAUCUAUAACCACCGGAGUUUUCAACCCGGAGAGAUGCCUCUCCGAAUAUUAUGGGGUAUUAGUACCAAUUUCUCAGUGUUAUCCCCCUGUUAAAGGUAGGUUGC
rnacentral:rRNA from 1 species